CCAAAACAAACAAACAAACAAACCCCAUCAACUACCAUUCUUCUUUCUCCUCUAUACCCUCCAGUCUUCUCCACUCCAAAUCUUCUUUUCUCCUAUUAAUAUUACUUUCAGCUCCUCCAUUUACGCGCACACUUCCUCCCCUCAAAACACCUUUUUCUUUUAAGUCUUCUUUUUCAUCAUCAGCUCCGAGUACUGAUGUCUGACUCCGAUCACUUUUCAGACGACACUUCCGUGGAUUCUAUAGAAGAUUCCAGCCACGAUUCUAAGCUUGAGUUCUCCGAGGAUGAAGAAACCCUGAUUGUCAGGAUGUAUAAUUUGGUCGGUGAGAGGUGGUCUCUGAUUGCUGGGAGAAUUCCUGGAAGAACAGCAGAGGAGAUUGAGAAUUACUGGAAUUCAAGGUAUUCAACGAGCGAAUGAAUAUCAAAAUCUUGAUAAUUUAAUUUAAUUAAGAGCUGCAAAAUUUGGGGUUUCUUUCUUUUUCUUUCGUUUGAUUGGGGGGAAAAGUUUGGCUGUAUGAGAUUUAUUACACCUGUAGUUGUUUGUUUCCUACUUUUUUUGGGUAUUAUGAUAUGAUUAUGUAAAUUGUUAUUAAUCAUUUAUUAAGUACAUGCUAAGAAGAAUCUGU